rnacentral:snoRNA from 12 species
AAAAAAUGAUGAAACCAUUUAUGAUUAUCAAAGCCUUUCGGGUCUGAGAGUAAACUAUGAUGAUUAUAAGUAAAGCUGAUUUU